AGCAACCAAUAGGUAGAACUUUAUUGACCUUUUAGGAGAUCUUUCUCCAGACAAAAUACUUAUGCCUUUUUUUCUGCUUGAAGUUGAUAGGAGGAGGUGUUCCACAGCAGAUCAGAUAUUCAGUCAAGCUGAUGGAGAAGCCAUGCCAGAGAAAGCAAAAAAUAAGAUGUCAGCAGCUGGAAGUAGCUGAUGUCAUUCUUGCUUCUUACUUCCACAACUCUGAACUUCUGUUUUCUGUGGAAUCUUCUACACACUGGACACAGUGACAAUGUACUCUGUUGCUGUCACUGGGAUGAAGACUGGUGCACUUUCAUCAGUGAGAAAUUCAGGAAAAGUCUGUAUCUCCAAUAUAUAAUAAGAGCAAUUAAAAUCAACAUUUGUCCAUACACAGUGCACAUACACGAGCUGCAUCAGCAGAUUCAAGUCAGAGCCUGUGUCAGAUUCAAGUCUGAGUCUAUGUAUGUGCUCAUCUGUAUGGAAGGAGGUAGGAGAUGAGGAUUUUUGUGUUAGAAGAAGGAGACAAAAAUACAGACAGAUAUGGAUGCAUCUAUUCAAUGUCCACUUUCUGUUCUUUGGUAAUUACAUUGACUACUAAAAUAUUAGGUUCGUGGAACCGCAAACUGUUGAUAAUUUUCUGUAGAAUACAAAAAAGGUCACCCCAAAUGUAUGAAUUAGUACAUAGUGAUUUUUCAUGCUUUGUGUAAUUUUGAUUUUCACAGUAAAAUUCACUCUUCUUUUCUGGUUAUUAACAUAUCUACACACUAUUUAGUUAUAUAUACUCUCACAAAGUUUGUGUGUAUUUAGGGAGCAGAUGCAAAGCUUUUUAAUAGACUCACAGUAACCAUGUGACUGCCGUUGAGUUGUACAAUAAUGACUAUAUACUUUAAAGAUUUGCACCACAGCCAAAACAUGUCUGCUUGCAUUCCUCAUUUCACUUAAGUGGCUUUUUGUAUGAAAAGGUUUUGUUUGUAUUUCUACAGUUGUUAAAAAAGGAGCUACAUGCAAAGAAAGAGCCCCUAAAAAGCAAUGGAAAAGGUCUUGAAAAGACCACUGCCACCUGUUUUAGUUCAGAUAUUAAACUAAUGUUUAAAAUAUUUAACAAGCCUUUAGAAUUUAACAUUGCCAGUUCACAGCUCAUGACUGUGGAGGCAAACCUUUCUUAAAGCAAGAGGACUCCAAGAAACCAACUACAUACAGUAACCAUUUAAAAAAAACAAACUUGCAAGACCAAGAUUUUAUGUCUUCAUUCAUGGAUUCUCUAUAGUGAAACUGGAGCAAUGUCAUCCACCAGAAUUUUCUCAAUUUUUUUACUUGUUACUGUAAAAUUUGUUGUACAGUUGCUGUUGAAUUACCUCAGGAAUCUCAAAUUCAAAUAUACUGGAGAAGUGUGAAUGCUGUCAUAAACUAAUCCUGUCCAUUUACAAAGGAUUUUUUAAAUAACUUCAGUCAGUGGAUAUUUUUUCUAUAACUCUAAAUGUGUUGCUUUCAGUUUAAU
rnacentral:lncRNA from 1 species